rnacentral:rRNA from 1 species
AACGAACGCUGGCGGCAUGCCUAACACAUGCAAGUCGAACGAGACCUUCGGGUCUAGUGGCGCACGGGUGCGUAACGCGUGGGAACCUGCCCUUAGGUUCGGAAUAACUCCCCGAAAGGGGUGCUAAUACCGGAUAAUGUCUUCGGACCAAAGAUUUAUCGCCUUUGGAUGGGCCCGCGUUGGAUUAGCUAGUUGGUAGGGUAAAAGCCUACCAAGGCGACGAUCCAUAGCUGGUCUGAGAGGAUGAUCAGCCACACUGGGACUGAGACACGGCCCAGACUCCUACGGGAGGCAGCAGUGGGGAAUAUUGGGCAAUGGGCGAAAGCCUGAUCCAGCAAUGCCGCGUGAGUGAUGAAGGCCUUAGGAUUGUAAAGCUCUUUUACCCGGGAUGAUAAUGACAGUACCGGGAGAAGAAGCUCCGGCUAACUCCGUG